rnacentral:rRNA from 1 species
CCCUUAGACGCUCUAGGCGGCACGCGCGCUACAAUGGGUGGUAGAACGUGUAACUGCUCCCGAAAGGGAGGGUGAACCACGAAUACUUACCCGUGAAUGGGAUAGUUUGUUGCAAUUUUCGGGCUUGAACUAGGAAUCCCUUGUAAGAAUGCUCAAGAAUAGCGUGCUGAAUACGUCCCUGCCGUUUGUACACACCGCCCGUCGUUUCUUCCGACUGAUACUCAUUGUGAGUUGCAAGGAUUCUUAUUGAAAAAUUGCUGCGAAUGCUUUGUAUUGGAGGAAGAAAAAGUCGUAACA